rnacentral:rRNA from 1 species
UACGUAGACCUCGAGCGUUAUCCGGAUUUACUGGGCGUAAAGCGUACGUAGGUGUCUUGUUAAGUCUCUGGUGAAAUCUCUGGGCCCAACCCAGAAACUGUCAGAGAAACUAAUAAGAUUGAGUGUGGCAGAGGUCGAUGGAAUUCCCGGUGUAGCGGUAAAAUGCGUUGAUAUCGGGAAGAACACCAGUGGCGAAGGCGAUCGGCUGGGCCAUUACUGACACUGAGGUACGAAAGCGUGGGUAGCGAACGGG